rnacentral:tRNA from 1 species
AUUUAUAUAGUAUAAAAAGUACAAUUAAUUUCCAAUUAAUUUGUUUAUUAAAAAUAAUAUAAAUA